rnacentral:rRNA from 1 species
AUCCUGGCUCAGGACGAACGCUGGCGGCGUGCCUAAUACAUGCAAGUCGUACGCUUCUUUUUCCACCGGAGCUUGCUCCACCGGAAAAAGAAGAGUGGCGAACGGGUGAGUAACACGUGGGUAACCUGCCCAUCAGAAGGGGAUAACACUUGGAAACAGGUGCUAAUACCGUAUAACAAUCGAAACCGCAUGGUUUUGAUUUGAAAGGCGCUUUCGGGUGUCGCUGAUGGAUGGACCCGCGGUGCAUUAGCUAGUUGGUGAGGUAACGGCUCACCAAGGCCACGAUGCAUAGCCGACCUGAGAGGGUGAUCGGCCACAUUGGGACUGAGACACGGCCCAAACUCCUACGGGAGGCAGCAGUAGGGAAUCUUCGGCAAUGGACGAAAGUCUGACCGAGCAACGCCGCGUGAGUGAAGAAGGUUUUCGGAUCGUAAAACUCUGUUGUUAGAGAAGAACAAGGAUGAGAGUAACUGUUCAUCCCUUGACGGUAUCUAACCAGAAAGUC